UUCGCCAGAAUCACCACUCAACAGUGUAAAUUUGCUCAAAAAGUUAUUAUAAAAAGUUUCUGCUGGUUCGAUUAAAAAUGGAAACUAGUCCAGACGGUAAAGCACAAAAGGUUAAUUACUAUUUCAUCAAUUAUAAAACCUUUGUGAACGUCAUCAAGUACAAGCUCGAUCAUAUGCGGAAGCGUAUGGAAACCGAGGAACGUGAUGCCACUAGUGCAAGUUUCAAGUGUCCUUCCUGCGAUAAGACUUUUACCGAUCUGGAGGCAGACCAGUUGUUCGAUUUUGCAUCCGGCGAAUUUCGCUGUACAUAUUGUGGCAGUACUGUGGAGGAAGACAGUUCAGCACUACCGAAAAAAGAUUCACGCUUACUGUUUGUUUCGGGAUGUACAAAUCAAACACGCGCGUCGGUUAUGCUAUUAAUCUUAUGGGAUUUUCGAUUGAUUGACACCGGUGUAGUGGAUUUCUCUGAUAUACUGCUACACCCAAUCCAUGGCAACUGGCAUCGCAUUCUAUGAUCAGCGGCUCGGUUCGGUCAUAGUAUUGCAAAGCGGAGUGCUCAGAAAUAGCUUGUUUUACGUCGUUGAAUUCGUUCUCUUCCUCAGGUGUCCAUCGGCACGGAGCAUCAUCCGGAAUAAGCUUUCGCAAUACUACCAGCUUACUACUUAAAUUUGGAAUAUAUCUCGCAAGGUAGUUGAUCAUACUUACAAAUCGGUGAACUUCUUUAGGCGAUGUUGGUACAGGAUAUUUUUGUAUUGCUUCUACUUUCCUUCCAUCAGGUUUCAGCCCUUCGUAGGUAAGGACAUGACCAAAGAAGUUGACAGACGUUUGACAUAAGUUAAGCGUUUCAAUAUUAAGUUUCACUCCGUUAUUCCGAAGGCGCACAAGUAGUUUCACUAGUCGUUGAUUAUGGACUUUCAGGGCCUCCUCAAUAGUAUCCCCUGCUCCGACUAUUAAAAUGUCGUCUGCCAAACACUCAAUGCUCUCCAGUCCUUCAAGUGUUUCUUGUAGUUUUGCUUGGAAUAUUUCCGGCUGAAGAAAUACCAAAAGGCAUUCUGAGCCACCGGUAGCGCCCAAAUGGAGUCCAAAAGGUAGUGAGCUUACUACUGGCCUCGUCCAAUUCAACUUGCCAGAACCUCUUCUUUGCAUCGACCGUUGAAAAUAUCACUGCUCUGCCAAGUUCAGGCAAUAUUUCAUCCAGUGUUGUAAACUGGAGAUUCGGACGCUUAAGGGCCAUAUUCAAAGGAAUGGGAUCUUGACACAAACGAAGAGAAUCCAACCCAGGGGAGUUUUUCUUUACCAAAACCAAAUUACCCAGUCGGUGUGUUGUGUCUCCUUUUGAAUGAUGCCAUCCUGAACAAGCUGAUCAAUCUUAUUUUGAAGAUUAUCCCUGAAAGCAAUUGGGAUGCGACGGGGUGUUUGAAUCACUGGCUUCACUGCUUCAUCGAUUUCCAACUUGACAGCACCUUCCAUUUUUCCGUUGCCUGGUAAGUCCGUAUGAUACAUUUGGCUUCUUCUCGGUAUUGAUCCAACACUUGCAAUGUAGCUAUGUCUCGGUGAACGGAGUUGCAAAAUUUCACCAGACCCAAAGUGGUACAGACAGUAAUCGACAGCAACGGCGGGUGAUUCAUGUUCACUACCUGGAACACCAUCCUAUAUCGCUUACCUUUAUGAUGGCAAGGAACUUCAAUUUUACCCAAGACCUCGAUCGGGGUACCGUUAAAGGCUCGCAAACGACAUCUUGAAGCACUUAAUGCCGGUUUAGCCUGUCCAGACAACUUUUUCAACCAGUCCAUUCCAAUAAUACUGGCCAAGGCACCGGUAUCUAAUUCACAACUAACAUUUUUCUACACGCUUCCAAACUUUAGCGACAGAUCAGCCAAGACAGCGCCACCAGUGCCAGACUUAUCCACAAUUUUUCCAAUAAGUGUUUCUUCCUCUUCUUGAAUCCAAAUCUCUUGUUCUUCAUCUUCAGCCGAUGCAUGGUUAUUUCUUGCCUCCGAUGUUGCAACUGCUUUUACGUUUCUGCCUCCUUUCAUUCUUCCAGUCGAUCCAUCCGAUUUGCAAACUCUUUGGAAAUGAUUUUUUCCGCCACACUUAUCACAACGUUUUCCAAAGGCUGGACAUGCUCCACGUUUGAAAGGAUGACGUCCACCGCAAAACUUGCAAAUUUGAGCAGUGGCUUUAUUGACUUCCAUAAGCGGUUCCAAAGACAGUUGUUUUGAAUGACGUGCGGUAAUUUCUUUCAUUCUACAAAGGUCGAUGGCUUUUGACAGAUUGAUGUCGGGCAUUGUAAGCAUUUUUGUUUUCAAAUUAGACCACUUGUUCGAUGUAACUAUCUUGAACACCAUCAUAUCCUGCUCCAACGCUCCGAAUCGACACGGUUUUCCCAACACUUUCAAACGGCUCACAUAUUCAUCGAUGGAUUCUGUUUGUAUCUGGAUCGCUGAGAAAAAAUCCAGGCGAUCAACAAUGAUGUUUCGAACGGGUACUACCUUCGCUCUGAUAGCUUCCAACACAGUCUCGGGAGAUACUUUCUGUGACUCGUUGAGUUCAAAAUUGAAGUACCGCUUCAGAGCAUCUGUUCCAACAACCGACAAUAAGAAACUGACUUUCUUCUUAUUUUCACUUUCGGGCCAGUCAUUCAUGCCAACAGCAACUGCGUAAUUUUUCCAAUUGGAUUCGAAGAAAGAAUAAUUUUCCUCCAUAUUUCCUUCCAAACAGAGUGGUGGAGGGAGCGGAACGGAUUGUGAGGUUAUGUGUGAUGGUGUCGCUUGAUUCGGAAUGGUGAUCUGGAAAUUUCCCAUUCUCUCUGCCCAGUAUGCAAAAAUUUGAUUCUGUUGCUUAAGCAACUGCGCAACUUCCUCCGCCAUUUUGAUGAGGCCUCUCGCACUUCACUUUCGACCGUGAUAUUCAACACGACCACAGACUAACAGACAUAACACUCAAAAACAAAGCUUCGCCCGCUUUAACGGUCAUUUUAAAUAUAUUUGUAGUUGGGACUGUGGAAGCAUUUGAAAUUAUGGCGCCACUGACAUGAACAAGCAUAUGGGGGAUAGACCACUAGUGAAAAAUUGUUCCCAAACCUGAGGGGUAACCCACCAGUAAAUGAGUGAUUGGGACUGUGAAUAAAAGUUGAAGCUAGUGUUCUGGGAAAAUUGUCGGAUCGAUGUUUUUUGAGGGAAUUCCCUCAUAGUGUUAUGUCUGUUAGUCUGUGAUUAUACCGUCCGUGAACCACGACGGAACUACGAAAACUCGAACGACCGAUCAAUCACACAAUCCAAAACAUACAAAAACAGUAUAUUUGCAAAAGAUUCCACUUCUGACACCAUGUUUCGGGAUGUUCAAAUCAAACGCGCGUUCGGUUAUGCUAUUAAUCUUGUACUCUUUUUUAUUUAUUUGAGGGGUCCACCAAUCACAUCACUGAUUACAACUGAUGUAAAGGUUUAUGGAAGUGCAGUUACAAUAUGAUUACAACACUGUGAAGGCGACGGUUUCGUCCGACCGGCCGGGACAACAACGGCCGUGUUCUCCUUUGUCGUUGGCUGCUCCGGCAGCGGUCCAUAACAAUUAGCCAGGGAGGUGAGAUUUGCUCCUUUGCUAAGAGGUAUUGCCAAACAAUGCAACGAAUGAUGCCAUCAAGGGGCUAGGUCUCAACAACGAGCCAAGUAGUGAUAGUAGUGACGAUGAGAAGGAUAUUGACAAUACAGAGAUUCCCACUGUUGAAAUUAUGGAUACCGAUUCGGAUGACGAUAUGCCGAUGACAGUGGCGUAGCCAGAAAUUUGGUUUGGAGGGGGUUUUGACGAAAAUCUUAGAUUUUUCAAAAAUGUUGGCGGGUCUUUUGAUGACAUAUAAUCUGUAGGCCGCGAUCGACUGGGUACUACCGUGUUCUGCAGUAAUAGCGAAAUGGGAUGGUGUCAGCGGGCAUGGGCGCAAUAACCCUACCGUAGGCAGAACUAAAUACCUGUCGCAGGUGUCAGUUAUGUUGGGUGGCGGACUACGAGACAGGUUAGAUCAAGUUCAACGAGUGGCCCAAAAACACCACUUUACUAACGAUCAAGGAGAAAAGGAUGCGCUGAAAACUCGCAAUUUCGAAACCGUAGCAUUGGAGGAGCUUUCUAGACGGGGCACAAGGUGUGGAAAUGCGGGAAUCGAGCGACGGCACAAGAGGCAGGCGAUCAGCGAAAGGAUGUGUGUAGUGUGGAUCAAAGGCCAUUUCUUCGAUUAGAGCCGCGAAAGAUGCAUUUUAUGCGCAGCUGGAGCAUGUCUAUGAUAGCUGCCUAUGGCGGAAUGUUAAGUUCGUCGUCGGUGACAUAAACAUGCUGAUUGGCCGGGGGCAUUGUGUAAACCCGUUAUCGCACAGAAUACACCUUAUAAAUAUUGUGCAGAAAUUUUCACUAUUGAUAAGUAUAUUAUGACGAAACCUAAAUAGCGAAGCAGUAGACGAAAAGAGUAUUGCAAGAAUCGGCUUGGAGACACGCUCAGUCGACGAUAAAAUUCCGGAUCUACCUAAGAUUCAUGAAAAAAUAGGAUGGUUGAACCACUGGCAAUGAUCAACGGUCAUGUGAGCUACUCAAACACAGAGCAGAUGAAUUGGCUGGAGCACUCCAAUGUGUGCUUUUGAAGAUCUGGAAGGAGAUUUUACCGAAGUAUAGGACGUAGAGAGUAGUAUGUCCCAUCUAUAAAAAUGGUGUUAAGCGGGAUUUUUGCAACUAAUUACCGAUUAAUCACUUUACUCAGCUGCCCUUGUAUGCAAAGGUAACGUAAAUGCCAUCGAGUAUAUUUUUCAGAAAAUCAGUUUUCAAAGCAUGCAUGGUACGAGUAAAAGCAUGCUUUCGCCACUUUGCUUUUCGUAUUUCAACAGGUUAUUUUUAAUUUUUAUUUGAAGUCGUUUGAACUGAAAGAUGCGAAUUUUUGUAGUGAACUUGAAAAUACGAAAAAGUUAAAUUUGGCGUUGAAGUCACUCCCAAAUUCUUUUUUGCCGCAUAUAACCGUUAGUAAGGAAAUUCGUAGUGCAAUAUGCAUUCAUAUCUUCAACCAAGCUAUUUGCAAUAACAUUCUUGAAAACUUUGCUGAAGACACUAAGUCUUGAACUAAAUUUGAUUGGAAUUAGUAAUGCAUCCAACUGGAAAAACUAAUCAACAAAAUUAUGCUGCUCAUUACUAAACCACCAAAAGCUGAUAGUUUCCAAAUUAGGGAAUCUUGGCGCCAUUCAAUUCGAUACCCAAAUGUACACCAUAAAUAGCGAAAAACGUGAAAAAAUAUUUAUUACCAAUCUUAGCUAGUGGCACUUUAUAUAAGUGAUAACCCCAAAAAAUCAAAUGCGCAUAUAAACCGAUUCUGACCUGUUAGAGACAAGCGUAAAACGCCAUUUUUCAUUAGUUUCUAUGUAUGCGUUUUCAUUGAGAUAUUUUGGUGGAUAUUUACAUGAUUUAUCAACUAUAGGAUCCUUACUAAAAUAUUAGUUACAAGAUCCCAUCCUCCCAAUUUACAAAAAGUCCCCAUAACGUUUAAAACAUUAGGUUCUCAAUGUAAUGAACUGAUAAUAAACUUCCAAAAUUAUUUGAAUAUUUAAUAAACUAGUCAGCAUCAAGCUUUUUUUUUUCUUGAAUUCAAAUAUUUUGGUUUGGAGGGGGUUUUAACCCCCAAAACCCGCCCUUGGCUACGUCACUGGCCAAUGAUAACGGUGGCGGGUAGACCACAGCCACUGGAUUAGAUCAAUGACACGCUGAUAGCGGAAAUGACUCCACAGGAGAAAGAAACCUACAUUCAGGUGUAUCAAGAUCAUUUCAGUCAUAUGUAUGAUUAGAUGGAACGACGAAAAGUAAGUGGCAUUAAAAAGUUGAAUUUUAAAUGCGGCCGUACACACUUUAUUCUGAGAAACUCCUGGAAAUGGUACGCAUGUUACGUAAGAUAUGAACGUAUAUCCGUGAACUAUUUAUUGUUAUUGUUAUUGGGCUGAAAAUUAUUUUCAAGUCUUUCGUAACUGAUCCUGAUUCCUGCAGGAGAUAAGAAAAAAACGCUACAAUUCCAAGCUACCGAAGAGAUAGUUGUUGAUUGCCAAGAGAGAUUAAAGCUGCAUGUGCAUUUAGUUUGAUAAAUAAACAAAAAAUUAUAGUUUCUCAGUAUUUAACAUAAACGUAAAUAAACACAAAGAAUGCAAGCACUUCUAACUACUCGUAUUCGUAUUUUAUUCAUACCCGUUCGAAUAUUUUUAUCGCUGCACGGCAGCCAAACUAUCACGUUGGUAAGCACUUGGUAGAAAGACGCCUGUUCGACUCCCUCAUCCUACUUACUUACUUAUCGUCCCGGCAUUUGGUGAUGACCGCAAGCAGCUCCUAACCCUUGCAAUUUAGACCUUCAAAUUCCGAUUCGACGGCCACCGUGCAGGUCAUGGUCGCUUCAUUGCUUAGCAGAAAGCGGCCGAUACCCAGCUCGAAUCCGGAACGUUCCACAGCGGAAGCAAAGCGGUCCGGUUGGCCCGAUGUUGGCACAUUACUCGAUCGAAUUCGGCUUUGUAAAUCUUAACCUGGUACCCAGAUCUUAACCUGCUCCCACAUGUGCUUGAUGGUACGACCCAUCUUGGUGUGACCUGUGUGUUCGGCGGGGAAAUACAUGCUGUUAAUGACGGUUAUCGGUCAAUGUGGCUCGCAAUAUCAACCUCAAAUUGUGUUUAACGAGACCAGCAUAAUGCCUCCCUGCUUCCUUCGCCAAUGCCUCCGCAUUCCUUAACCUUCAAAUGUACAAUGUCUCCUUCAUUCCUUCACCUUCAAGUGUUUUACGCACAAUCGAAUGCCCUUAGUUAAGAAGAAGUAUAAAUUCACGCGCCGACCAAAGCAUUCAUUUCAACGAACAUAAUCGUUGAGGAAUCGGUAUUUAAAUAACUUAUCAUCUACCGAAUGCCACUGACGGCCAGUGUAAUUAUAUGAUUGAUUGUUUAUGAUUCUAGGGAAACCCAACCAUUCCGGGUGACCUAAAUCGUUACCUAUAAAGUUCAGGUAAGCUUCACCCGAGGCUUCAUCACCCACUGAAUCAAUGGGAAGACUUAUCCCGCAAUCGAUGAUCAUGUUCGGUUCUGAAGUUACCGACAUAUGUGGAUAUUUAUCCUUAUCCAUAGGCCAGUAAUUGUUUAAUCACCCACCAAUGUUUGAUAGUGUGAUUCAGCAUAUGUCAGUGACAUCGUGUUUUCCAUCUAGCGGCGAUUGGUCGACAUUUCAAAGCUUCGAUGUCAACAUUCAAAUUACCGGAGAACCCUUCGUUGAUAUCACGAGAGUGGUACAACAUUGAGUUUUACUCGUCAUGCCGCGAGCGAAGGACCUCAUAUCUGUUAUUAUUUGUUAUUGUUAUUUAUCAGUGUGCAAUCGGGCUGUCUCUACAACCUAUUUCUGCAACCUAUGUGCAUUAACUGUACACCUACCGUCUAUCCGUUGCACUUGACAGUGUGUGCAGUGCUUUAUGGUCACACCUACGACCGUGCACCCGGCUUCCCAUGAGCGUUUUGACGGCUCAGAGGUGUCCUUCCAUGUUGCUCAGGGAUACAUUGGUCCUAUACACAUCCAUGCAUACAGGCAUACAUAUGGGCUUACAUUCAUACAUACAUACAAACUAUUUGGUGCAAGUUUAGAGCGUUCAACGUCGUGUCAUCUAGUCUGUCAUCCUAUGGAAAAUCAUCCUACCAUCGCCUUGAGGUCAACGUCAUAUUGGCAAAUUUCGCAUUGAAUCCGCUUCUAUCUCUUCCUAAUCUCCUUUUUGUCUCCUAGGUCCGAAGCGGAUCAAUCGACUAUUAAUUGAAACGGUAAACAUACUAGCAGUAUUAUUAGUCCUUACUCGCGAAUACUUUUCCUACAACUGUGCUGUUUCUUCUCUAUCUUAUAACAUAACUCGAUUAUCCCUGUUCUAGUCAAUAUACAUAUUCAUUACAUUAUGGACCAGGCAAACCCUUAAUUUUUCUAUUAUUAUUAUCCUGAGUAGCUAUACCAGUGAAGGUAUUUUAGGAUUUCGUUAAAAAGAAUCUCUGCCAAUAAAGGCGCAAGCAAUAUUUAUCCACAUAAAGUUUGCUCGAACCGAAUGUUUCCCCCACCCAAGCGAAUUGAUCAACUUGCAAGUAGGAGCACAUAUCUACCAACCAGCCAAGAAGACUUUCGAAUCAAUGAGAAUGGACCAUGCCAGUCGAAGGCCACAGGCCCAGCGCCAUCUCGUUCAGUGUCAUUGUCAUUUCUCAGUCCACCCCCUGGCAGACGUUCAUCCGCCCAUCUAGACUCUGUCAAGAUGAGAACCUACAAAGCCUAACUGUUCGUAUGUGCUAGUCCGUAUAGAUUUUGGUUUGCUGAAACGAAACAAGAAAAGCAAAAUAAUUGUGAUUAGUAUCGUAGUUAUAAUAAAUAAGUAAACGAUUUCUCCUCUGUUGUCCGUUCCCUUGUUCGUAGUCCUCCCUCCUGUUCCUGAUCUGUUUGGGCUACUGGCUUUCCGUUUCCUUGGUCGUCACGCUCGAUCCGCACACAUCAUAGCAGGAGAAACAAAUGAAAAGACAAAACAAAACAAAAUGAAAAUAAAUGGACGUCUGCUAUCUGUGCCUAAAUUGAUGUUGCUUCUCAGUUUUGCACGACCCAGGGGGGACUUGGCCUUGAUCCCAAUGCUCUGUCACCGAUGUUACGUGAUAUUCGUUAUGGAAUAUUCUUUGUUUGGGGGCCAUUCAUAAACAAUGUUGUACGUUUUUUUUAAUCCCUGAUCCGCUGAUACGUCUAAAAUUCAUUUUUAGUUUUUAUCUCGUUACGUGACGCUCUUCCCCUAUUGUCAAUAUCCAACAUCAUUUAUGAAUGUCCCAAGGACCUCAUAUCUGUUCAAACAAAAUUUUAUUUUUUUUUGUAGAAAGUUGUAAAUUUUUCAAAGCAAUAACUUACUCUAACUAAACAAACAGCUGUCCAAUAAAGUGUGUUCGUCUCGAGAACCACCGAGGAAGUAGUACGAAUUGGUUCCAUCAAACUGGUUCCAUCCGUCAUGAGUGUUGUUGAUGGCAUGUGAAUGAGCCACAUUCAGCAGCACGAAGAGACACUGCCCAUGUGCUUUAUCAACCAUAUAUUUCAACUCCUCUGAUGUGCCAUAGUGGCUACUGUCAACGAAGAAACUUGUCAUCUGAUGGCCAAAACUGACAUAAUAGGUAUGCUCCAUGAUGACUAUCACCUGAAUGGUGUUGUACUUGAGAUCUUUGAUCCUAGAUACAAUAUUAUCAGCCAAGUUUAUAUAUGUUCCAACACCAAGUUCUUCAGUGGCAAUGGCUACGCGGUAUUCUUAUAUACGGAGCACUAAAAAGCACUAUAAAAGCAAACAAUGACGCUUAUGAUUAUCAUCCCAAUUUACAGCAGUCCAUCAUUCGUGUACAACAUGUUUUUAGUAUUAGGGCUGAAUCAAAUGAUAAUCAUUUGAUGCACUUCAUGCGAUUGCGAGGGAAAUUCGCAGUAAUAACUGUUCGCGAAAAAACGGUCCCGGAUUAAAAAGUAAAGUCGAAAAGUAAGAAACAGACCUAACCUCUAUGAGAACGCGAAGAUGUCUUCCCAUCGGAGUGUUUAUAGAUUAUCCCCAAUUCCGGUUUCAACAAACCUGUGCCAAACAACAGAUCUACUCGUCGUGCUUCAAUUUCUACUUGUGAGUCUUGAUGAAACGUGAAAAUUAUGCUAGCAAUCACGAGUUACUUUAGAACAGUAAGCAGGUUUGCAUCACCUUACUCACAGUUAUCGUCAAUUUCAUGUUUUUACCGGUUAAUCAGAGUUGUGCAGCGCAAAACCUUCCCGAACAGCUGAAGCGCACACGUUUACUUGCACCGAGCUGAUUUCGCUACUUAAGGUUGCACAGAGAAUGCGCAAAAUUCGCAAACGAAAAAAGCAUUUUUUUUCCACA